rnacentral:rRNA from 1 species
UACGGAGGAUCCGAGCGUUAUCCGGAUUUAUUGGGUUUAAAGGGAGCGUAGGCGGGUUGUUAAGUCAGUUGUGAAAGUUUGCGGCUCAACCGUAAAAUUGCAGUUGAUACUGGCAUCCUUGAGUACGGUAGAGGUAGGCGGAAUUCGUGGUGUAGCGGUGAAAUGCUUAGAUAUCACGAAGAACUCCGAUUGCGAAGGCAGCCUGCUGGACUGUAACUGACGCUGAUGCUCGAAAGUGUGGGUAUCAAACAGG